GUGACCCACCAACCUCAGCCUACCCUCAGCCCAUAGCUGUCAAGUUUUCCCUUUUCUUGCGAGGAAGCCUAUUCAGCAUAAGGGAAUUUCCCUUUAAAAAAUGGGAGAACUUGACAGCUAUGCCUCAGCCAGACCCCACCAGCCUGCCUUCUAAUGUAUAACCAAUCCAAGGCCCUUGCAGAACGAACCCAGUAGGGAGUAGAAUAAGUUCUCCAAGGUUUCAGGCAGGAUUCUCUCCCAGUCCUACCUAGAGAUUCUGGGGACUGAGCCAGGGACCUUCUGCAUGCAAAACAGAUGCUCUACCCUUGAGUUAUGGUCUUUCCCUGGAUCCUGGCCCUCAUCCUUUAAACCAGAGGUAGCCAACAUGUGGUCAUUCAGAUACUGCAGGAUUACAACUCCCCUUACCCCUGACUUGUCAAGGGUAAUGAUUUAAUUUCCUGAAAUGGGAAUGUUUACUUACGUUAAAUUACUGUGUACUUUUAACAUGGGGUUCCCCCCCCCACAGAAGUUCUCAUGUGGUUGGCUGACUGUGAGUCACAUGAGAGAGGCACUCCAUUCUGUUAGGACUGUUAUUCCAGUAACUGUUGUUUUUUAACUGCUCUCUUUUGUCUAUGUGUGAGGGAGAACGGCUGCUGAGAGAGGCUUCUGGGGUAUGCUGUGUGGUGUCAGUGUGAUCUGUCUGAACUGAAACAGAGGAAGAUACCUAAAUGUUAAUAUACGUGCAGGAGUUCUCUGCAAGAAACAAAGAGAAUACUGCUGAGGUGAAAGUAAAAACCUUUCACAAAAAAACCCUGCAAGUCCUGAGUGCGGCAAAACUCCAUUGCAAGUCUCAGCACAGUUUUAUAAACUAACUAAGAACACUUCAACCUACAAUGCAACUCUGCAGAGAUUGAAAUCUGCUGGAUGGAUCACAAUGAGGGCCUUUUCUUGUUUGGAGAUGGCAAUUGAUGGUCUAGGUAGCUAUUUAAGCUGCCGUGAUGAAUUUGUUCCACCCAAACCUGAGGCAAAUCCUGCUUUCUUCCCUGAAGGAAAAGACUCCUGUCUUGAGUACCCCACUGCUUGGUGAAGAGGGAACUGAAAUGGCAUCAAAGAACAUUGUUCCAAGUUAAAAGCCUAGCUAGUCUCAAGGGUUGUGGGGCUACUUUUGCACAACUUAGCCACUAGAGGGAGAAAGAAACACACUGAAUUAACUUGAAUUACCAUGGAAAAAAUUAAUAUGUAUUGCAAUGCUUGGCUAGAAAGUGGUACCUCUUAUGAGUAUCAACCCCUCGGUAUUCUGUUAGGCAAUAGUAAGUUUUAGGACUGCACUGAAUAUUUUCUAGUUUUGGUUUUCAGGCCAAAUAUAAGAACCUCAAUAUUUGAAUAUUUGUCAAAGUUCUUCAUUGUGAAAAUAAAUCACU